rnacentral:misc_RNA from 1 species
AACGCACAUUGCGCCCCUUGGUAUUCCAUGGGGCAUGCCUGUUCGAGCGUCAUUUGUACCUUCAAGCUCUGCUUGGUGUUGGGUGUUUGUCCUUGCCUCUCUGGGGUAGGACUCGCCUUAAAGUAAUUGGCAGCCAGUAUUUUGGUUUGAAGCGCAGCACAAGUCGCGGUUCAAGCUUAAAUGAUGACUUCCAUUAAGUUAUAUAUCACUUUUGACCUCGGAUCAGGUAGGGAUACCCGCUGAACUUAA